GGCAGCGUCAGGCCCGCGGCCGCGCGCUCUUCCCUCCGGCUCCCCGCCUCGGAGAAGAGGACUCCAGUCUCUCCAGAGGGUUUUCGCGGACAGAGCUGCUCUCUCCCGACCCUCUAUGAAUCAUUCUCCUCUGCGGACCCGAACCACCCGGCUCUGCCCCGCCCAUCGGCGAGCCGGCGACGGAAAGGACUACAACUCCCUGCAUGCAAUGCAGCCGCUGCGCGCCGCAGCCCAACAGACGGCAUGCAGAAUGGCAUGGCGGGAUUGGUAGUCACCGUGCGGGAACGACUUCCCCCCAAGGGCAUGCUGGGAACUGUGGUGCCGCGAGAACAGAAGCUGAGUCUGGGAACGGCCUGCGGCCGGCAGAGAGACCGUUAGGGCCAGGGUCUGAGCGUCGGAAGGGCUCUUCUUCGGCGCUCUUCCUCGCGCCGUCGGCCGUCCUGCGCCAGGCUCGGCUAGUCCGACUGUCUGGCGGUGGCGGGAACGGCCUCCGUUGGCUGGAGCUGUCAAGCCCGAGUUAAUACCCUCGGGUCGCGGCUAACGGUUCCGGUCUCUGCAGUUGUCACCUUCCUGCCUCGGCUGCCUUGGUGUGGCCAGGGGAGGCAGCGCUCUAGGUCCGCGGGAAGCCGGAGUCCUGUGCGGGCGGAGCUGCACGCUGGCCAGGGGCUCCCCAGUCACCGUCAGCCCCUGAUUCCCGCCGUCAGGAGGAACCCAGCAGGUGGUUUGGCCUACGUCCCAAGGCAGUCAGUGGAGACGGCGAGGUUGGAACCUGGGUCUCUCCCGGAAGUGGCUGCAGCCCAGCCCCGUCAAUGCCGUCGUCCUGACAGGGCGGCAGAGGCCGCCGAGCGCGUGUUCGCCAGGUGUGAACUGCGUGCCGCGCUCUCUGUUCACACUUCCUUGUUGCUUCCAGCAGUUCCUCACACAUUCAUUGAACAAACUCCUACGCACCUGUGCUGUACCCGGCAGCAAGUGCAGGGUGGGUACAGUGGCUCCGGAGGGAAGUCCCAGUCCUCAUGGAGCUGCCAUUGCAGCAAGAACCUUCUUAUUCUCGUUUUACAACGAGAAAACAGUGUCCGGUUAUAUAUCUCAGGUUAUAUGCAGAUUUGGGGUUUUAAAACAUUCUGUUAGUCCCUGUUUGCCAUCUGUGAUGAGCACGUUCCUCGUGGGGAGGGGCAUUUGUACAUAACACAUCCUUGUUUUUUUUACCUCCUCUCCCCUCUCCCCCCUCCCUGCUCCUUCCAUCUCCUGGAAAACUGCAGAUUAUGGAAACAGGAGCCUGUGCUCUUGCUUCCUUCCCUUGCUUGUCAGUAGACAGCAGAUGAAUUCUCCAAGUAACGUCCAUGCUCUCCACUCCAGUCAUCUCUGAGGUCUCCCCUGCCACCUCUCCCUCUGGAGCUGUGUGGAAGGGGAACUAGAGGAAGCAAAAUCCGUUCACCUAAUGAUCGAGUACCUUCUGUAUUGUGUAUGCUAAGUAUUGUGCCAAACAUUGGGAAUUUGGAGACAAAAACAGACAUGGAAACUGAGGCCAUGGAACUUUUGUUUUUUCUGCGAAUUAUACUUUUCAUGCAGCAAACAUUUAUUAGGCUUAUUGGUGAGCCAGUCAUUUGGGGGAGGUAUUAGUCAGCUUUCUCUUACUGUGACGCAAUGCCUGAGAUAAUAAGGGACAAGAUUUAUUUUGGCUUCAGUCCAUGGGCUCUUGGCCUUCUUGCCUGUAAGGUGGGCAGCAUGUAGCUGAGGAAACUGCUCACCUCAUAGCAGCUAGGAAAAAGAGAUGGGGAUGGGUGAGGGCCCACAUCCCCUUCUGGGCAUGCACCAAUAACCUCCUCCAACAAGGUUCUCACUUAAACGUUCCACUACCUCCAAAUGGCGCCACGGGUUAGGAACCAACCCUUUAACACAUGGUCAUUUUUGAGACAUUUCAGAUCCAAGCUAUAGCUGAGUGGGUGCUACAUGUGUAAUAAAUGAUCUCGGAUUUUAAUUCAUCUCUCAAGCACACUUCUUACAAAGCUUAUGGAAUAGACACAUAAUUUCCAUAAGUUUAUGGAAUAGACAUAAAAGACAUAAUUUCAAUGAACUAUUGAAAAGGUACUAUUCCCACUUUAUGGAUAAGAAAAGAGGGUCAGGUGAAUUAAACACAAACUGAGACUCCAACUAAAGACUAUUAGCAAGGUAUUCGGAUGCCCAGUCUGUGUCCAAUACUGUAUCAACUGCUUUUUGGGUAGCUCCAUAUUUUUUGAGUAAAGGUCUCUUGGAGAGGAUAUCAGCAAGCAUAACAAUCCCAAUAGAAAUGUUUCUCUUAAAGAGGGUCUUACAUGUCCCUGAAAAUCUGUUUGCCAGAUCUUACACUUCUAAAAAGAGAUUGAAAACAUGUGAAACCACAUGAAUUAAAGACUUGGGAAGUUGUACUUUAGUAACUUUAAGCAUUAAUAUUCUGAUUUUAUAAGCCUAAGGAUCUUUGAGUCUAUUUUAAGUCAUCCAUUGACCACUGAUGAGACUCAGCUCCAAGAAGAAUUAAGUGGCUUUUUCAGAGUCGAUAGUUAAAAGCCAACUCUGGGAUUAGAUCCUAGAACAGCCACUAUAGCACUUUGCCUCCCUAACUAUUAGUCAUGUGAUACUUUUCAGUGACUGGAGAUUCUAGUAUGGCACUACUUUGAGUUCCUGUUGAUUUAUGGGGUGCAUAGUACCAAGGAAUUAGGAGUUAGAGCCUGGGUAAUUGAAGCAACGAAGUAUUUGGAAGUCAUUGCUCAGAAAGAUAGUAAUAUAAUUCUGUACAUCUACAGUAUAUGAAUAGUGCUUUCUGUUCUCAAAUAUCACCUUUGGAUUAUCUGAUUUAAUCCUUAUAAUAGCUGAAAACUGUAAGAUCAAUAGGGCAGGCACUAUCUUUUUUACAGUGAAAAGGGAAGUUCAGGGUGUUGAUUAGCUUGCUGGUAAGCAAAUCAGCCUCCUAAUAAGUGGUAUAGUUAAGGGGUAGAAGUGCUCUGGGCUCUGAUAACAAAAUGUCAUGAACUUGCAGGUAGGGCAGUGAAGCAGGCUGCACACAGAUACUGGUCGUUUGUUCUGGACUUUGGUAUAUCCUGCUGUGGCAUUUCCUCUUGCCAUGAAAAUGGGCUAGUUGGAAUGCACUGAACUGAAGGUCUGUAAGCAGUACUUGGUGCUGCUUUUAAAAUCCUGCUUUUCAUGUGCAAUGCUUCUAGGACAUUUUUGUUAGAAGUGGGAAUCAGAAACAACAGCUCAGUUUACUGACGGCAGCUGGAGAAUGUGGGUUGAGAGAAUCCCAGUAACUCAGGACAGGAACUGUCCCCCAUCCCGGCACUAUGUGAGGCCGCUCAGCCUCUCUUAAACCAGGGUCCUCAGCUAUAAAAUAGAGGGUCGGAUCCAGAGGUUUUAGCUCUAGUUCUAAAAGUGUAUGAUUUGAAAACAAAAUCACCUUGGAAUAUGUUCAUUCUUUAGAAAAAAAUCUAUUCGUAAGAGAGGGGUUGUGCAAAUCCACUAUCAGUACCAUGAUAUGGGAAAUUGAUGCUUGGCCCCUUUGAAGUUCUGACUCAGUGGAUCGGUGCUGAGGCCUGGGUACUCAGAGUUUUUCCCAGUUGAUUCAACUCAGCAGCCAGGAUUGAAAACCACUGAACCAGUAUUUAUAAGAGGAUCAGCCGCUGAACUAGUUUUUGGUACACGUUCAAAUCAUGUACAUGUAACAGUCUUUGAGGCGUCCGAAUAACCAGCUGGUUGUGAUGCUGUGCCCCGGUAAUCCCAGCAAUCUAGAGGCUGAGGCAGGAGGACCCCAAGUUUGAGUCCAGGCUGGACAAUUUAGUGAUUUAACAAAACCCCAUCUCAAACUAGAAAAUAAAGAGGGCUAGGGAUGUAGCUCAGUGGGAAGUCCUUGGGUUCAAUCCCCAGCACCACAAUCAACCAAAUAAAAUAAAAAAAGAUUCCCACAAUCAACCAAAUCAGAAUCACCUUGCAAAAUGGACGUUAUCAUUUCAUUUUCUACCAAAAAUGAAGUUUCCCUGGCAUAGCAAAGCCAAUUAAGUUUGUUCCUUUUAACAAAUAUUUAGUGCACAGCAUUGUCUUAGACAAUAUGAAAAGUAAAAACAAGUGGAAUGAUCCUGUCCUUUGGGAUAUAGGAAACAGACAAUAAACAAGUGUUUUUAUGAUAGGAAGGAAAUUGAACUGACUGUGCAAAUCAAGGCAAGAUAAACCUUAAUGUGAAAGGGAGUAAUCUGAGAAGGCUUCAUGGAGGAUGUGAGUAACAUCGGAUGGUGGAGACCAGACGGGGAGAAACAGUACGUGAGAAACAGAGGCCAAAAUUCACGUUUGCUAUUAGCGACUCCAACUUGGCCAGAUUUGAAAGCCAGCAAUGGGGAUUUCUUUGAGGUCAAUUUUGUCAGCCAGAUGAGGAAAAGUUAAAUCUGAGAGAGGUUUCAUAAUCAAUGAUGGCUUUAUAAGCAGCCAAUCCCACUUUAGCUUACAAUGUAUUAUAAUUUUGAAACUAUUACCAUACAAUGCCAAGUGACAUAAAAUAAAAUAGACCUGGAGGAUCAGAGGGAGGUCUGUUGCUGGCUGGCACAUUAUUUUAUCUCUGGAUCCCACUUAUAAAAUUAGAGCUGGACUACAUGACUUCAAAGGGUUUUUUUUUAACAUUUAAAAACUUAUGACUAAUUGAUCCAGUUUCUUGGCACCUUUAUGAGGUUAUCCAGUACUAUUUUCAGUGUCCUAGUGGAGCCCAUGCUGUUAGUCCCUGGCAAAUUUACCUACAAUUGUUUAAUAUUGACGGCACACGGUGGGAUUUUCAAAUGAAGCACAUGAAAUGGGCUCUGCCCUUUAGAAGGUUUUAUUUAUCCAAGAGCUGGAAUGUGGGUCAGACCUAUUUGCAUCUCACUAACUGGAAUCCCAUCCAAACACCUCUUGGGAAAACUGGGCACUUUGGGUGGCAGUGCAGUAAUGUGCUGAAAGAACUUGGACCCAGAAUUGGAAAACCUGUUCUUGACUCCCAGCUCUCUGUGUGAGUCUCAGAAACUGAUCAUUUGUCAGAUUCCUUGAAACCCAUCUGGCAACCAGUUUUUUAUAUCUAACAGGAAGACCUGAAAGCCAAAAGAUUCUUGUUUGAAUUUUAACUCUGGAUGUUCUGUUUGAACGUUAUUUUCAACUUUAAUGUGCAUAAUUAUACCUACUUGGAGGAGGAUGUAAGGGUUAAAAGAAAUGGCAGUCAAAAGCGCCUGGCUCAGGAUACCUGGCACGAUGCGGCCACUCCCAUGCUAGCUAAACUGGAGGAUGUUGAGGAGAUUCAAGGCGGAAGUCUGUGUUAGCCCUAUGGGUCACAAAAGCCUGAGUUUUUGUUGCUGCUGCUGCUGCUGUUUUUAACAAAAGUAAUCCCAGCAUUCCGCUGUGGUCUGUAUGCUGACGUGCUUUAAUACAAUUUUAAAAGAUGACUGUUCGUGUGUAAAUAAGGGGUCCUAAACGAUCCUUCAGUACUCCCUCCUCAUAUCGAUGCCUUUGCAGUGAGCUUUCUUGAGAUUCACAUCAGAGGAAAUACAUUCUCACAGCCCUUCUUCCCACCACUUUUUGCAGUAAAGCAUUAAUUUACUUACCAACAUUUGAUUAAACUCUUAAGGUUCAACCCUAGGAGGGAGGAGGUAGCAGUGGACAAAGGAUUAUUGUCAUUCAUCAUCAGCACAUUUUAGUCUUCCCCUCAAGUUGCCUAUGAGGGAUUAGCAUUUCCCUGAAAGGAGGAGGACAGAAUAAAUUGCAUCCACCGCCAAAGAGCUGCCAGGUCCUUUCAGCUGGGGGCACAUACCGGGAGCUUUUCCCAUAUUACUCAGCUUUAGCUCAACUUCUGGGCAGGGCCUCCAUCUGAAUUUCAUGGGUUUCAGGGUCAGUCAAAACAGAAUUGUAGGGUUGCUGAGGUCAGAGGCCACCUCUGUCAAAGGGUAGUGACCUUAACAGCGAGAGGUGGCCAGACCCCUUCCUCCCCCCACACCCCAUGGCCGGGCUCUGGUGAAUGCUCGGCUCACUGUGACUCCCCGCAGAGCUUUUUUCAACCUGGUAAUAAA
rnacentral:lncRNA from 1 species